AGAUCAUUUUGGGGACAAUUUCUUAGUAACCCUUUAUAUCUCUCCCAUGCUUCAUACAAUGAUUCCCUUGCUUGUUGCUCGAAAUUAGCUAUGACCUUCUUAAGUUU